rnacentral:rRNA from 1 species
GACGAACGCUGGCGGCGUGCUUAACACAUGCAAGUCGAACGGAAAGGCCUCUUUCGGGGGGUACUCGAGUGGCGAACGGGUGAGUAACACGUGAGUAACCUGCCCUUGACUUUGGGAUAACUUCCGGAAACUGGGGCUAAUACCGGAUAGGAGCUCCUGCUGCAUGGUGGGGGUUGGAAAGUUUCGGCGGUUGGGGAUGGACUCGCGGCUUAUCAGCUUGUUGGUGGGGUAGUGGCUUACCAAGGCUUUGACGGGUAGCCGGCCUGAGAGGGUGACCGGCGACAUUGGGACUGAGAUACGGCCCAGACUCCUACGGGAGGCAGCAGUGGGGAAUAUUGCACAAUGGGUGGAAGCCUGAUGCAGCAACGCCGUGUGCGGGAUGACGGCCUUCGGGUUGUAAACCGCUUUCGCUCAUGACGAAGCUUUGUGUGACGGUAGUGGGUAAAGAAGCACCGGCUAACUACGUG